rnacentral:tRNA from 1 species
GCAGUGGUGACUCAUUGGUGGAAUUCUUGCCUUCCAUGCAGGAGAUCUAGGUUCGAUUCCUAGCCAAUGUA